rnacentral:rRNA from 1 species
UACGGAGGGGGCAAGCGUUAUCCGGAUUUACUGGGUUUAAAGGGUGCGUAGGUGGGCAGUUAAGUCAGCGGUGAAAUCUCUGGGCUUAACCCAGAAACUGCCAUUGAUACUAUCUGUCUUGAAUAUCCUGGAGGUGAGCGGAAUAUGUCAUGUAGCGGUGAAAUGCUUAGAUAUGACAUAGAACACCAAUUGCGAAGGCAGCUCACUACGGGGUUAUUGACACUGAGGCACGAAAGCGUGGGGAUCAAACAGG